AUGGUUGGGUUGGAAAGGACCUUAAAGCUCAUCCAGUUCCCAACCCCUGCCAUGGGCAGGGACACCUUCCACCAGAUCAGGUUGCUCCAAGCCCUGUCCAACCUGGCCUUGAGCACUGCCAGGGAUGGGACAGCCACAGUUCUCUGGGCAAACUGGGAUGUUGCAUCACCUUUGCCGAUGACCUGGUGGCGGUGGGUGACCAGCCGCUCCUCAGGGAUGAGGAUGUCCUUCACUUCCUCCAGCAGCUCUGGCCGCAGGUCCUCCAGGCAGCAGGAUGUGGCCCUGAGCAGGGGCACAGGGGAGCCACCGGCCGCCAUACCAGCACCAGCACCGGUACCAGCACCAGUGAACCGUGCCCGGGGCAGUGCUGGGCCGGGAGUGCCUGCUGUGGGCAGCACUGUUGGGGCAGGAAGGGUGAGGGCUGGGCAAGCACCCAGCACCCAGCACCCCCUCCGGUGUCACCCACUUACCCAGCACCUCCCUGUAGUCAACACCAGGGCGCUGGGUGGUGGCAGGGGGGUCACUGCGGCCGGGCUGCACAAGCAGCUCCAGGUUCUCCGUCCCUGCAGGCAGCAGUGGGGUGGGCAGUGGGAUGCAGGUGAGGGCUGGGGGACCGCAGGGUGCUGGGGAGCACAGCACUCACCCCUCCUCUUCCUCAAGUGCCAGCGAAGCAGCAUGGCAGCCAGGAUGCCGCAGACCAGGACGGUGACACUGAUGCCCAGGGCCAGGCUGGAGGCCAGGUCCAAGGAGACGGCAGGGGACAGCACCCAGCCCAGCGCCUCACAGGCACUGUUCACACAGAUCUGGGGGAGCAGGGACUCAGCAGGGCAGGGAUGGGGGACACGUGGGGGGGGGGGGUGGCUCACUUGGGGGGUGCCUACCUCCACGGGGGCCCCGGCUGGGGGCAGGCGUAGCUCGCGGGGCAGGCGGCACGUCACCUCGUUCUUCAGCACAUUGGGGUGGCAGUCCCGGCCCCCCACUGUCAUGGUGAUGUUCAUGCAGGCAGCCACUGCAUCCAGCCCCAGUUGCUGCCCAGACACAGCACCCUGA
rnacentral:lncRNA from 14 species